UAUUUGCGCAUCAGCGUCAGCGUCCCACGCAGUGGCUACUAGCUAGGUUGGUAACACGUGCGUGUUCGGCUCUGUGGCAGUGGCACUUAACAGACACCAAGUUUGAGCGAACUUCACAUUGCUACUGGCUGCUAGCAGCUAAUAGCUAUUUUGCCUGUUUCAAGCUCCCCACGCCAUGAUUCAGGUUGUGAUGUUCCAUUAUGUGGAGGACACUUGCCUGGCUAGAGAAGUGGACAUGAACAGAGUGCCCUUGACUCCCACCAUUGUUGUAUGUGAUGUUUCUUCUCUAUUAAUCCGGAGAAGGGGACGAAAGUGGAACAAACAAAAACAAAAUGGCUCCAUGUGAAUCCAAGAGUCCUUACUUUGAUUCAGGACUUCUCAGACCAUGAAUGGCAAGCUAUUUAAAAAGUUGUUCCUUCAAGUGACUGCAACAGUGAACACCCAUAUGUUUCUCUAGAUGUUCUUCUAGAAGCAAUGCAGUUGCAUGUUAAUCUAAGCUUCUGUAACUUGGUUCAUGACCUUUUCAACCAUGAAUGGCGAGCUGUUUGAAAAGUUGUUCAAGUCACCGCGACAGUGAACACCCAUAUGUUUCUCUAGAUGUUCUUCUAGAAGCAAUGCAGUUGCAUGUUAAUCAAGCCUUUACCGUGAUUCUCAAGCUCUCCAUGAAUGGCGAGCUGUUUAAAAAGGUGUUCCUUCAAAGUGAUGGAGCCGAUGAACACCUAUAUCACCUUUUUUCGUGGCUCUAUAUUAACAAGGUUCACAUUUAUUCACUCACAAUCCCUCUCUCUCACAAACACAAGUGCGACCACACACACACACACACACACACUAAUGAUCUCUUUCUCAUUAUUUUUUCAACAAUAAAUUUGCAUUAUUGUGAAUUGUA